rnacentral:rRNA from 1 species
ACGGCGAGUGAAGCGGCAACAGCUCAAAUUUGAAAGCUAGCCUUCGGGUUCGCAUUGUAAUUUGUAGAGGAUGAUUUGGGGAAGCCGCCUGUCUAAGUUCCUUGGAACAGGACGUCAUAGAGGGUGAGAAUCCCGUAUGUGACAGGAAAUGGCACCCUAUGUAAAUCUCCUUCGACGAGUCGAGUUGUUUGGGAAUGCAGCUCUAAAUGGGAGGUAAAUUUCUUCUAAAGCUAAAUAUUGGCGAGAGACCGAUAGCGCACAAGUAGAGUGAUCGAAAGAUGAAAAGCACUUUGGAAAGAGAGUUAAAAAGCACGUGAAAUUGUUGAAAGGGAAGCGCUUGCAAUCAGACUUGUUUAAACUGUUCGGCCGGUCUUCUGACCGGUUUACUCAGUUUGGACAGGCCAGCAUCAGUUUCGGCGGCCGGAUAAAGGCUCUGGGAAUGUGGCCUCCACUUCGGUGGAGGUGUUAUAGCCCAGGGUGUAAUACGGCCAGCCGGGACUG